rnacentral:rRNA from 1 species
ACGAACGCUGGCGGCAUGCCUAACGCCUGCAAGUCGAACGAGACCUUCGGGUCUAGUGGCGCACGGGUGCGUAACGCGUGGGAACCUGCCCUUAGGUUCGGAAUAACUCCCCGAAAGGGGUGCUAAUACCGGAUAAUGUCUUCGGACCAAAGAUUUAUCGCCUUUGGAUGGGCCCGCGUUGGAUUAGCUAGUUGGUAGGGUAAAAGCCUACCAAGGCGACGAUCCAUAGCUGGUCUGAGAGGAUGAUCAGCCACACUGGGACUGAGACACGGCCCAGACUCCUACGGGAGGCAGCAGUGGGGAAUAUUGGACAAUGGGCGAAAGCCUGAUCCAGCAAUGCCGCGUGAGUGAUGAAGGCCUUAGGGUUGUAAAGCUCUUUUACCCGGGAUGAUAAUGACAGUACCGGGAGAAUAAGCUCCGGCUAACUCCGUG